GUUGUAUAGUCAAGUAAUGAAGUGCACAUGGUGGAUGCCUUGGCAGUCAGAGGCGAUGAAAGACGUGACAGCCUGCGAAAAGCGUCGGGGAGGCGGCAAUAUCCUGUGAUCCGGCGAUAUCUGAAUGGGGAAACCCACCUAUCAUAAGAUAGGUACCCCGCUAUAUUUUAUAGCGGGGGGCAAACCGGGAGAAGUGAAACAUCUCAGUAACCCGAGGAAAAGACAUCAAUAG
rnacentral:rRNA from 1 species